GACGAACGCUGGCGGCGUGCUUAACACAUGCAAGUCGAACGGAAAGGCCCAGCUUGCUGGGUGCUCGAGUGGCGAACGGGUGAGUAACACGUGGGUGAUCUGCCCCUAACUUCGGGAUAAGCUUGGGAAACUGGGUCUAAUACCGGAUAGGACAAUCGUUUAGUGUCGGUUGUGGAAAGUUUUUUCGGUUAGGGAUGAGCCCGCGGCCUAUCAGCUUGUUGGUGGGGUAAUGGCCUACCAAGGCGUCGACGGGUAGCCGGCCUGAGAGGGUGGACGGCCACAUUGGGACUGAGAUACGGCCCAGACUCCUACGGGAGGCAGCAGUGGGGAAUAUUGCACAAUGGACGCAAGCCUGAUGCAGCGACGCCGCGUGGGGGAUGACGGCCUUCGGGUUGUAAACCUCUUUCGACAGGGACGAAGCUUUGGUGACGGUACCUGUAUAAGAAGCACCGGCUAACUACGUG
rnacentral:rRNA from 1 species